GGAUGAACGCUGGCGGCGUGCCUAAUACAUGCAAGUCGAGCGAACAGACGAGGAGCUUGCUCCUCUGACGUUAGCGGCGGACGGGUGAGUAACACGUGGAUAACCUACCUAUAAGACUGGGAUAACUUCGGGAAACCGGAGCUAAUACCGGAUAAUAUAUUGAACCGCAUGGUUCAAUAGUGAAAGACGGUUUUGCUGUCACUUAUAGAUGGAUCCGCGCCGCAUUAGCUAGUUGGUAAGGGAACGGCUUACCAAGGCAACGAUGCGUAGCCGACCUGAGGGGGUGAUCGGCCACACUGGAGCUGAGACACGGUCCAGGCUCCUACGGGACGCAGCAGUAGGGAAUCUUCCGCAAUGGUCGAAAGCUUGACGGAGCAACGCCGCGUGAGUGAUGAAGGUCUUCGGAUCGUAAAACUCUGUUAUUAGGGAAGAACAAAUGUGUAAGUAACUAUGCACGUCUUGACGGUACCUAAUCAGAAAGCCACGGCUAACUACGUG
rnacentral:rRNA from 1 species